GACGAACGCUGGCGGCGUGCCUAAUACAUGCAAGUUGAGCGCUGAAGGUUGGUACUUGUACCAACUGGAUGAGCAGCGAACGGGUGAGUAACGCGUGGGGAAUCUGCCUUUGAGCGGGGGACAACAUUUGGAAACGAAUGCUAAUACCGCAUAAAAACUUUAAACACAAGUUUUAAGUUUGAAAGAUGCAAUUGCAUCACUCAAAGAUGAUCCCGCGUUGUAUUAGCUAGUUGGUGAGGUAAAGGCUCACCAAGGCGAUGAUACAUAGCCGACCUGAGAGGGUGAUCGGCCACAUUGGGACUGAGACACGGCCCAAACUCCUACGGGCGGCAGCAGUAGGGAAUCUUCGGCAAUGGACGAAAGUCUGACCGAGCAACGCCGCGUGAGUGAAGAAGGUUUUCGGAUCGUAAAACUCUGUUGGUAGAGAAGAACGUUGGUGAGAGUGGAAAGCUCAUCAAGUGACGGUAACUACCCAGAAAGGGACGGCUAACUACGUG
rnacentral:rRNA from 1 species